UUCUAUUAAAUUACAGGUUGUGGUCAUUUGUUUUUGUACUCUAGAAAUAUUCAAGGACUCUAUUGGCUUACACAAGUUUGAUAUUCAAACUAAAUAGUUAAAUCUAAAGAAAACCAAUUGACCGUCGUUACACAUUCUCAUAUCUCAUUUCUACCAAGUUCUUCAUAAACUCUCUUUCAAAAUGUGUUGCGGACCUUGUGGUGGAUGCUGUGGACCCUGCUACUCCUGCUGCGGACCAUGCUACUCCUGCUGCGGACCCUGCUAUUCCUGCUGUAGCCCAUGCUACUCGUGCUGUGGCCCCUGUGGCGGCUGCUGUGGUGGAUGUGGGCCCUGUUGCUAAAAAGAACCGAAGAAACUAAACUA